GGUCAAGCAAUGAAGCGCACACGGUGGAUGCCUAGGCAGCCAGAGGCGAUGAAAGACGUGGUAGCCUGCGAUAAGGUUCGGUGAGGUGGCAACGACCUGUGACCCGGACAUCUCUGAAUGGGGAAACCCACUCAUCACAAGAUGAGUAUCUUGCGCUGAAUCCAUAGGCGUAAGAGGCGAACCAGGGGAACUGAAACAUCUAAGUACCCUGAGGAAAAGAAAUCAACCGAGAUUCCCCUAGUAGCGGCGAGCGAACGGGGACCAGCCCUUAAGCAUGUGACUGAUUAGGCGA
rnacentral:ncRNA from 1 species